GACGAACCGUCCAAACGUUAUUCGGAAUUACUGGGCUUAAGGGGUGCGUAGGCGGCGCGGAAAGUUGGGUGUGAAAUCCCUCGGCUCAACCGAGGAACUGCGCUCAAUACUACCGUGCUCGAGGGAGAUAGAGGUGAGCGGAACUUAGGGUGGAGCGGUGAAAUGCGUUGAUAUCCUAAGGAACACCGGUGGCGAAAGCGGCUCACUGGAUCUCUUCUGACGCUGAGGCACGAAAGCUAGGGUAGCAAACGGG
rnacentral:rRNA from 1 species